rnacentral:rRNA from 1 species
AUUGAACGCUGGCGGCAGGCCUAACACAUGCAAGUCGAACGAGUGGCGGAAGGGUGAGUAAUGUCUGGGAAACUGCCUGAUGGAGGGGGAUAACUAAUGGAAAAGGUAGCUAAUACCGCAUACCCUACGAUGUGCCCAGAUGGGAUUAGAUAGUUGGUGGGGUACAGGCUCACCAAGGCGACGAUCCCUAGCUGGUCUGAGAGGAUGAUCAGUCACACUGGAACUGAGACACGGUCCAGACUCCUACGGGAGGCAGCAGUGGGGAAUAUUGGACAAUGGGUGAAAGCCUGAUCCAGCCAUGCCGCGUGUGUGAAGAAGGUCUUCGGUUUGUAAAGCACUUUAAGUUGGGAGGCGUUACCAACAGAAUAAGCACCGGCUAACUUCGUGCCAGCAGCCGCGGUAAUUC